GGCGUUUUUAUUGGCGAUGACUUUACAAUUGGAAAAUAAAAACAGAAUGCCUCCAAGGAGCGCAAGCACACGAGUUACUGUAAAAGAAGUGUUUAAAUCUAAAUUAAGAAAUUGAAAGUUACAUAUUCUCUGUUUGAGAGUAUUUGAUUCGGGGUCCUUUGCUUUAUAUUUUUUCUUCCAUUUAUAUUCCCUGGAUGAUCUCUUCGUGAUCAACCGCUUAAAAAUUGUUUGAUCGCUCUAUAAUUGUUCACUUUCCUUGUAGUGACCAACUUGUCAUGAAACUGCUUGCUGCCAUUACUUUUGUCGUUCAACCGUCUUCAAUUGAAUUCCUUGAAUCGUGGAACGUGGUAGGACUACCCAAUAACUACUUUAUUAACUGCACCAUAACAUCUUACGUUUGCUAAAAUAUUGGGCGACUUGAAUGUUUGGACAAGAGCGGGGCCACAGCUCUGGGCGACUACAUGGCAAUUCAUUCGCUCAAAUCUUGGGCGACUUGCAACCUUGGGCGAUGGUAUUAUCGCAUUUAUGGGCUUCCCUGUUUGGGUCUUUAUUCUGCAUUGCCUGAUUGAUUCGUUCCUUGUGCUAUCUGAUUUUGGGGAUUUUUCAAUUGGGCUUCAUUCCUUGGGCUAUUCGAGUUGGGCUGAACUUUUUGUGUGUCAAUAAUUACCCCCCAAUAUGGCAAAAUUAAUACCAAUUAUUAAUUUUUUGCCAUAUUCACUUUGUGUUUCCCAGUAACAUUCGAAAUUUUCAAGAAUUUCAAUCAUUGUUUUCUUCCAUAGCCUGAAAAGGUGCGACGUUUGCAAACCCUUAUAACCCCCAAAUACGCUAUUUCAUUGCACCACUAAAUCACGCCUCAUUUUUUCGCGCCUCUCUCGCAAUAUUACUGUUCAUCUCCUUACUUCUCUGCUACGUAACUCUGCAAAACUCUAUUUCGUCCCUAAUGGCUACUUCACAAUCUCAGUCUGGUGACUCCUUCAGUUUUGAAGACUUUCAGAAACUCCUUACUCAGCCAUAUGUAACUCCGAACUUUCUUGCACCGACCAAUAUCGAACUCAAUGAGUUCUAUCUAGGUCCUUCAUUCAAUAAUGCCGAGGCCAUCGAACAAGCGGUCGGUCAGCUGUUCCCUUGUACUCAUGGCCCUCCGUUUCUAAAUUCUUUGCCGCUGGGGCCACUACGCGAAAGAGGUAUUCGCACUUGGCCUAAAUUUGAUGUUGUUUUUUGUAGAUGGCACGCUCACCUUGUGGACCAUGGUCCUACUAAGGUAAUUUUUGAUACUGCUAGGAUUUCUGAUUUGUUAGAAAUCUCUCUUCAACCCCCUAUUUUUGACCCAGUACUUUUUUCAAUCGCUUUAAGUUUUUGGUCUUCUGAGUAUAAUACUUUUAUUUUUCCUCUUGGUCCCAUGUCCAUUACCUUAAGGGAUGUUGGGACCCUAGUAAAUCUGCCACCUUUGGGCGAUACCAUUUUCCUUGGUACUUUGAUUUCUGGUGUCGCCCCAAAAUUUGGUAAAGGCCUCACCAAGUCUUAUUCAAGCCUGCAAACCUUUCAUAACCACUCAAGCGCUGAGCCUUCCCAUACUGAGCGAGUGGCAUUUCUUCUGAUUUGGCUUUGUAAAUACAUUUUGUGUGUGCCAAGCAUAAAGCCUUCCCUAAGCUAUUUACCCAUACCACUUGGCGCGUGGUACGCCUCUGAAUUUAUGUUCUUUCUUUUUAGCUGCCCUCUAUAGAUGCAUGGCUUCUCUUCAAUCCCAAUUGAAGAAUGGUGCAUCUCACACUGGCAGUGGACCUCUUUGGUUCGCUUAAAUGUGGUUGAGAGUUUAUUUUCCAUCGCUUGGUGCUCCAUCUUUUUCCAGCCUUUCUGCUAGCUGCUAUGGGCCAGUCAUUGAGCCCCUGACUCCUGUAAAUAUGUCCAAAAGGGACAUUUUUUCACUCUUUUAUACUUUGGAUUCAAUUCAUUCCUUCUUUCCUUUUCCUCCCUUUUUGACUCUAUAUUAUGUGCAACCCCCAUCCACUCUGGAUAAUGCGAACACUUUCUUAUUUAUUUGGAUUCAGUUUUUGACCGGGAGGGAGUUGUUCCAUGAUAUUUUGACUGGGACUAAUGCCAAGGCUGGGGUAGAGAUAUAUGCUCCUCAAUUUUUUGCUCGCCAACUUGAUUUUGGCCAAACUUGGCCCGUUCCUCCUUACUAUUCAAGGAAUUUGAUAGACCGCUUCCACACUAUUAAUAAAACAGAAACGGAGGCUAUAAAUGCUCGCAAUCUUCUUUUGACAAGUAACUUCUCAUUAGCCCCCUUCAAUCCUAGUCGUGCCAUCCAUCCUCUUUUUGAACGACUCUGGCCGUUAGUGAAAUGCAGAUUGUUUGCGACUCAUGCCAAUCAUGCUUUCCAUUCACUAGACCAGCCAAACAUUUCUUCCACCUCUCCUGUGUUUGGUUACUCCUGUGUCCAUUAGGAGUCCCUCUUCUUCUGCUCGUGCUAAGCAAUCUGCCCGUCCAUCGACUUCUCUUCCUGCCAAGCCCACUGCAGCUAAAAGUGCCCCAAGCCGCAAACGGCCAGUCUCAGCGUCUCCCAUUUUUGAGGAUGAUGCUGAUGAUGAUGAUGACACCCCUCUCAUCGUCAGGAAGAAGGUAAUUAAAUCGGUUUACUCAUAAGCAUACCUUUCUACACUUGAGGCUUUUCCAUGUGCUAAUAGUUUAUUUGGACCUCUCAGAAAAGUUCAACCUCUCCCUUGAAGGCUUUGGUGUUGGUAGCUCCUGCUCCAUCAUCCUCUGCUGGGGCUGAUUCGUCCAAACCCGCUGAUGAAGGGGCUACGCUUAAAGAGAAACUUUCAGUCCCAGAAUCUUCAUCACAACCAAUGGACGAGCCACAUUCUUCACAGGACGUUGACCCCCCAAACGUUGAAGCAGAAGGUAAUUCAUUUUUUGAUGAUUUACCUUUGCUUGUGCUAUUGGUGUUGAUUUGUUGUCUUUUGAGUUCUGCAGAUGUUCCCAUGAGUUUGCCCGUUGCGGCAAAGUCUUCUCGCUUAGAUAAGGGGAAGUCCUCACAAAUGGUGGAGCCAGAGGUGACAGAUUUGGUUGGGGAUAUGCCAUCUUUCAAGAUUGCUGAUGAGGUAAUCUUUGCUUUACAUUUACCUCCACUUUGUUUAGUGUAGUGGAAACCUUCAAUAUUGGCGAUUUUCUUUGCAGGAUGCUGAUAAAAUUGUGCGUUCCAUUCAAGACUUGUUCUCUUCCUGGGGGCAAGUCAAAACAUCUCGCCCUGCUUCAGCCAGUUGUCCUUCUGCUUCUUCAGAGGACGAUAUGAAGUUCCUCAAGCAGUCGAUAUUUGAGUAUGUGUCCUUCAUGGAUAUGGACAUCGGUAAGGCUAGUGCUGCCAGGCAUAAGGAUAAGCUUGAGCAUUUGAAUGCGAAAUUGGAGCAAGCACUAACACUUCCGUCGCUCAAUCUUUCUGCUGAUUUUAAAGCGACGUUGAAAGUUAUCCAUCCCGAAAUCCUCUCCUUGCUGGCCAAGAAUGUUGAACUGAAGGCCAAAAGUACUCAAUAUCUUCACGCCGUAUCUGAAAAAGAAUCUUUGUUUCUGGAGAUCAACAAAGC
rnacentral:lncRNA from 1 species